rnacentral:misc_RNA from 1 species
ACGGAAGAGGGAGACUACAAGGUUAAACUACGUAACCUUAUCCGGUUUCUCUCUGAUGGGGACAAGGCCAAGGUAUCCUUGCGAUUCCGAGGCCGCGAAAUGGCGCAUCAGGAGCUGGGCAUGGAGCUGUUGAAACGGGUCGAAGCUGACCUGCUGGAAUACGGCACUGUGGAACAGCACCCGAAGAUGGAAGGUCGGCAGCUGAUGAUGAUCCUCGCACCCAAGAAGAAAAAGUAAUCUCCAGGGCAACGCCAGGCCUUGCGAUUACCUUAUUCACUCUUACGUGGAGUUACAUGAACAUGGCAAAGAUGAA